UGAUGAUGAUGAAUAUGAUAGUGGUGAUGAUGGUGAUGGUGAUGAUGAUGAUGAUGGUCACCACCAUCACCACCACCAUCAUCAUCAGUGAUGAUU
rnacentral:pre_miRNA from 1 species